rnacentral:rRNA from 1 species
GAUGAACGCUGGCGGCGUGCCUAAUACAUGCAAGUCGAGCGAACGGACGAGAAGCUUGCUUCUCUGAUGUUAGCGGCGGACGGGUGAGUAACACGUGGAUAACCUACCUAUAAGACUGGGAUAACUUCGGGAAACCGUAGCUAAAACCGGAUAAUAUUUUGAACCGCAUGGUUCAAAAGUGAAAGACGGUCUUGCUGUCACUUAUAGGUGGAUCCGCGCUGCAUUAGCUAGUUGGUAAGGUAACGGCUUACCAAGGCAACGAUGCAUAGCCGACCUGAGAGGGGGAUCGGCCACACUGGAACUGAGACACGGUCCAGACUCCUACGGGAGGCAGCAGGAGGGAAUCUUCCGCAAUGGGCGAAAGCCUGACGGAGCAACGCCGCGUGAGUGAUGAAGGUCUUCGGAUCGUAAAACUCUGUUAUUAGGGAAGAACAUAUGUGUAAGUAACUGUGCACAUCUUGACGGUACCUAAUCAGAAAGCCACGGCUAACUACGUG